GCAGCCCACUUGGCAGGGAAAACUGGAACGCGCUCGCUCAUCCUUCGGUGAUUGGAUCCGGCAGCAGGGACACCUGGACUCCAGAUCGAAGCUGCGGAGCUCUCCACCGAAAAGAAGCAACCGCAGUCUACUCAGGGUCAGAAGGAAAAUAAUUGGGUCAGCUGUGGAGAGGUCUUGCGGAGGACGCAGGUGGGCCACAAUCACCCGGAACUCCGGUUCCUGAGGACUUGACACCUCCGUCCUGCAGGGCAAAACACUCCGGAACACAGAGGGUAAAACCCGUCCUGGCAAUCAGAAGGAAAGAACUCACCAUUGUGCUGGCAUUCUGAGUCUGCUCAUCACCCCGAGUUGCAUUAAGGGUGGAUGAGGACUGAGCUGCAAUUUGACCUUGACCCUAAAUCAUACACUAACCUCUAACCGGACCCUGACCUUGACCCAUCGUGUUGGGCAAAAUAACACACGCACUCCCCAAUGUAUCCAUGUGUUAAGCCGAGAAUAUGUUGCCUCAUGGGUUGGAUAUGGUUUAAGUGUGUCCCCCCAAAAUGUCUGUGUGCUAGAAGCUUGGUCCCCAUUGUGGCUGUACUGAGGUGGUAGAAGCUGUAAGAAGUAGCCCUGAUGAGGCUAGAAAGACAGCUCAGCGGUUAAGAGCUGCUCUUCCAGAGGAUCCCACCCCCUCUUGCGGCUUCCCUGAGCACCAGACACCCAGCAGCUUGGUGGGCAGACAUAUGCAUGCAGGCAAAGCGCCCACACACAUAAAAAUAAAUUAAAAAGUAGGGCCCAAUAAGUAAGUUAAUCCAUGCAUCACAACUGCAUUCCUGCACAAAAGUGUGUGCGCCCAAGACACACACACACACACACACACACACACACACACACACACACACACGCAGAGAGCUAGUGGAAGCUAGUAGAAGGUGCUCAGAUCAUUGGAGUUGCCUUCAUCAUCAAUGUAGCUCUUGAGAUAAAGUUGUUUUUGUUUUUUGGUUUUGUUUUGUUUGUUUUUUAAGUCUGGCCCCUCAGUUCUCUGCGCUUCCUGAUCACGGGAUCUCUCUGUCUCCUCUCUCACCAUGAAGUCCUCACCAGAGAACUAACGCAUGAUAGCACUUGAUAUUGGACCUUUGGCCUCCAAAUGAGAGCUAAAUAAAC